rnacentral:rRNA from 1 species
CCUACGGGCGGCAGCAGUGAGGAAUAUUGGUCAAUGGACGAGAGUCUGAACCAGCCAAGUAGCGUGAAGGAUGACUGCCCUAUGGGUUGUAAACUUCUUCUAUCAGGGAGCAAAGGGCGCCACGUGUGGCGUUUUGCGAGUACCUGUAGAAACAGCAUCGGCUAACUCCGUGUCAGCAGCCGCGGUAAUACGGAGUUGGCGGGCGUUAUCCGGUUUUAUGGGGUUGAAAGGGGGCGAAGGCGGAAUGCAAAGCCAGCGGUAAAAUCUCGGGGCUAAACCCCGUAGUGCCGGUGCAACUGGCGUGCUUGAGUGAGCGAGAAGUAUGCGGAAUGCGUGGUGUAGCGGUGAAAUGCAUAGAUAUCACGCAGAACUCCGAUUGCGAAGGCAGCAUACUGGCGCUCAACUGACGCUCAUGCACGAAAGCGUGGGUAGCGAACAGGAUUAGAUACCCUAGUAGUC